GGGCCGGUAGCUCAGCCAGGUAGAGCGGCGGUCGAAUAAAACUGGUCGAAGCUCUUAACCCGUAGAGGCGCCGUGCAUCUGCACGGCGUAGCGGAAGCCCCGGGUUCGAGUCCCGGCCGGCCCG
rnacentral:tRNA from 1 species